rnacentral:lncRNA from 1 species
UUACAAUAGUUGUAGUUGGUCAUGUCGAUGUCUUUAACGAGAACCAAAUGGACUUGAUUUUUGGCUAAGCGGUCUAGCACGAACUGUUAGGUUGAUCUAAUCGAAACUAAUUAAACCAGUUGGUGUCUAUGGUAAACCAGACCGGUGGUUUUUAAUUGGGAGUCCGCUUACCUGGCCAUUUCUGAUGGUGUCUAAGACAAGCUUUGGCAGACCCUCCCACU